rnacentral:rRNA from 1 species
CGCUGGCGGCGUGCCUAAUACAUGCAAGUCGAACGGUCUUUUCUAUGGAAGCUUGCUUCCGCUGAGAAGAUAGUGGCGAACGGGUGAGUAACACGUGGGUAACCUGCCCAUAAGAGGGGGAUAACAUCCGGAAACGGGUGCUAAUACCGCAUAGUUUUCUUGAUCGCAUGAUUGAGAAAGGAAAGACGGCCUUUGUGCUGUCGCUUAUGGAUGGACCCGCGGCGUAUUAGUUAGUUGGUGAGGUAACGGCUCACCAAGACGAUGAUACGUAGCCGACCUGAGAGGGUGAUCGGCCACAUUGGGACUGAGACACGGCCCAAACUCCUACGGGAGGCAGCAGUAGGGAAUCUUCCGCAAUGGACGAAAGUCUGACGGAGCAACGCCGCGUGAGUGAAGAAAGGUUUUCGGAUCGUAAAACUCUGUUGUCAGAGAAGAACAAGUUGGAGAGUAACUGCUCCAGCCUUGACGGUAUCUGACCAGAAAGCCACGGCUAACUACGUGCCAGCAGCCGC